AUGGUAGUUUGUACAGCUGAAAUUCAUGGUUUUGCUAACAUUCAUUCAUAUCUCCCGCUGCUCUCUGCACAGCUACCUUAUUCGUAUAUUCUACACAGAAGCAUAAAGCAGACACCAAAAAAGAAUAUUAAAUUGGGGAAAUCAACAUGGCUCAGACAUCCAAGGAAGGAAUUAGCAGCAUUAGCUCUCAAGCCUGGUAGGGCGAAAGCUCUUAGACGGCAACUGCGAAUGUUUUCAGAAACAAGCCUAAAUUUUAUCAUCAUCGCCAAUGAUUUACCCAAAUUUCAAAUCACCUACAGCAACUAG
rnacentral:rRNA from 1 species